rnacentral:lncRNA from 1 species
AGCUUGAUAAAUCUUCAGCUGAUCAGCUCUUUUCACCUAUUUGCAGUAGAUAAUAAUAUCCAGAGAAAUUGACAGCAAUAUUGAGAGGUUUGCAGCAGCAAAGAGAUUGGAUCAACUGUAGUAAAAGACAUACCUGGUGAAAAUGAGAAAAAAAGAGAGGGAGUGAAGUCAAACGCCUCCUGUACAUCUCUGAUCCUCCUAUUCCUUUUCUUUUUGGGAAAAAUUUGCUCUCCUGGAUUUGGAUUUCAGUGUUGAAAAAGCACGUCCAGUGAAGUGAAUGAGUCACAUAAACAAUACCUGUGCGCACGUUAGAGUCCCAUAAACGCUGCAACAGUUGUCGGGACCGUUUCCAAAUCGGGUUUGGGUCUCUCCGCUUCUUCAAUGAUUUUUUGAGUUUAGACUUUAGACCUAAGGCCCUAGAGUUAUAAUCGUAACCGAUUGAAUCAAAAUCAGCCUUAGGAUGUCUAGUGUC